rnacentral:rRNA from 1 species
GAUGAACGCUGGCGGCGUGCCUAAUACAUGCAAGUCGAGCGAACGGACGAGGAGCUUGCUUCUCUGAUGUUAGCGGCGGACGGGUGAGUAACACGUGGAUAACCUACCUAUAAGACUGGGAUAACUUCGGGAAACCGGAGCUAAUACCGGAUAAUAUUUUGAACCGCAUGGUUCAAAAGUUAAAGACGGUUUUGCUGUCACUUAUAGAUGGAUCCGCGCCGCAUUAGCUAGUUGGUAAGGUAACGGCCUACCAAGGCAACGAUGCAUAGCCGACCUGAGAGGGUGAUCGGCCACACUGGAACUGAGACACGGUCCAGACUCCUACGGGAGGCAGCAGUAGGGAAUCUUCCGCAAUGGGCGAAAGCCUGACGGAGCAACGCCGCGUGAGUGAUGAAGGUCUUCGGAUCGUAAAACUCUGUUAUGAGGGAAGAACAAAUGUGUAAGUAACUAUGCACAUCUUGACGGUACCUAAUCAGAAAGCCACGGCUAACUACGUG